CACCUGAAAUUGGAGGGAGGGGGGGAGAGAGAGAGAGAGAAGAUGCCAGUGGCACGACCCGAAUCAUCUGUUGCAAGGGUCAUCGCUCACCUUGACAUGGACUGUUUCUAUGUUCGAGUUGAGUGCAAGAACACCAUUCUGGCAGAGCUCCCAUUUCAUUGUUUUCAGUUUUCUUUAAAUAAUGAUGGCCAAAGGCUCACCAAAAGAGAGAAUAACUGGAGCAACGCAAACAGCCCCAUUUAAGGGGUUAGCCCACUGCUGUGGUACAGUACAACUCCUGGAAAGGUGGGGGUUUGAUUGCUGUCAGCUAUGAGGCCCGUAAAUAUGGGUUGAAGCGUUCAAUGCGAGGUGAUGAAGCGAAGCAAGUUUGCCCACAAAUCCAACUUGUCCAAGUCCCAGUUGCUCGUGGUAAAGCUGACUUGCGCAUCUACCGAAAUGCGGGUUCAGAGGUUUAAAGAAUUCAUAGGCGGUUUCUAUUCUUGCAAGGAAGGGUAGAUGUGAGCGUGCUUCAAUUGAUGAAGUGUAUCUUGAUCUCAGUGAUGCUGCUGAAGCAAUGUUAGCAGAAAAUCCUCCAGAGAGCUUGGA